rnacentral:lncRNA from 1 species
CUGUAACACCCCCUGUGGCUGUGGUGGCCUGUACCAGCCUGCCUGUGUACGUGGCAAAGACUGGAUAGAUCCUAGAACAAUUUAGGGGUUAGUGUUGACAAGCUUGUUUCAUUGAUUAGAUGAAAGUAAUGAGAGAGAGAGAGAGAGAGAGAGAGAGAGACAAGGGCAAGCGUGGUCCUGGAGGAGGGAAGGUGGCACUGUUUAACAAGGUAAGGAGCUCAGCAGGAAGUGUAGUUUGGUGAGGGGGAGGGGGUGUUGAGUUGCAUGAGUCAAGCUGAAAUUCAAGAUGCUUUGAAGGCAUGCAAGUGCCUUCAAAUUCAAAUCCACUGGGCCAGAGUGGGGGGUGGGGGGAGACUGACAUGGAUAUGAGACAUGGAUUUGGGAGUCAUUAGCAUAGAGGAACGGCUGUAGAAGCCAGAAGAAGGAACGAGGAGGAGAACCAAGGAGUCAGAAGUGAAGGAGACCAUCUAGGCAGAGGAAAAAGAAGUGGGGGGUGAUGAGGAAGGGUGAGGGGAGAGGAAGGGGACAGAGAAGUAGGACAAAAGCCAGGACAAUGCAUUGCCAAAGAAGCAAGUGGAAGAAAGGGUGUUGGGAAAGAGGAAAUGGUCCCAUAAAUCUAGAGCUGCAGAGAGUUUAAGACAGGGAAGGAGGGAAAUACCAGACCAAGAAGGUGGAGCCAACAGUGAGGUUAUUGACAAGCUUGGGAAGAGCCCUUACCGAGUCGUGGUGGGGGUGGGGCCUGGAAACCAGAGGGUGAGAAAGUGACCCAUCCAUCGGGGGUGAGAACACAGAGAUAGUGAAGGGAGAAGCUCUUUCAAGGGAAGUUGGGGAGAGAAAAGCAAGUUGUAUCUAGAAGGGAAUGUGGAGCUGGGGGAGACCUGAGCAUGUUUAAAUGCUCCCUGCACUCCAUACUUUUUAUGCACAGAAGGAAAAGUGAAUAAAGAGGCUGAAGACUUUGAGAAGCUGCGAGAAGAGAGGAUAGCCCUUGGACAGGAAGAGAACUGCCUCCUCUCUUGCAACUAAGGGGAAGAAGCCAAGGACGAUUGCCAAGAUAGAUGUGAAAGUUACGCGGCAGAAAUUGAGGGCGUCACUAUCUUGUGCCUUAUUUUUUCAGAGCCACAUUGAAGAGAAGCUCAGUCUAGGUGGAUGAAUCAGCCUUUGGCCCCCAUCCCUCCGUUAGAACUGCUCUUGUCAAGGUCACCAUGACCUCCAGUGUUGCCGAAGGUUAAUCCUUAGCCCUCGUCUUACUUAUUAGCAUCACUUGACACAAUUUAUCAUUUCCCUUUCCCUGAAACGCUGUCUUUCCUAGCUGUACCAGGUAUAUUUUGUGCAUUACUUCAAACUGUCUGGGCCCCCCUUCUUCCUCUAACCAUUGCUCUGGGGAACAGUUACGUGAAGUUUUCAACCAGUCUUGUGCACGUAUGAACCGACCAUGUCUUGCCUCUCAUGCUUCCUGCCCUCGGGUUUCUCCAACACCAUGGAGUUGGACACCCUACAGAAACCAGGUGGAACUAACACAUGCAUGAUCCAGGAGCGGAAGGGAGUUAACAUUCCUUGGAGCGAUCUCUGACUAACCAAGGAGAGGAGCCAAAGAGUCGAUGCUUUUUCCAUUCUUUCCUGAGCAGACACUUUGGAGAUGCAUUUCCUAAGGCUUUUGUGAAGCUCCUACUGGAUUGAGUCAUCCAGAAUAGUUUUCCCCUACUCCUCUGUUUUGCUAUCCUUGUGCCUUACUCCUGCUUCAUGGAGUUCACAUUCCAAAAUAAACCACCUACAAUAGGCCUUUUUUUUUUUUUUAAUCAGUUUCUUCUUUAAGGGAGGCUAGGCUAAGAUUCUUGAUGUAAGGCAGAGGUAUAAACAAACCCAAAUGCAUAAACUAAACAGAUAUCUUUAUAGUUCUGUCCCUUCACAAACAGAAACUGGGUCUAAUUUUAAGCAAUCUCUUCUGUGGCUGUGUAAGAUGUAGGGCUUCCUGAAGUGCCAGGGAACCCUUCAGGAUCUCACUAUGUGCCUUAAAUUGAUAGUUAAUGACCCGAGCUUCUUAUUUAUUCCCCUUUUCCAGAUUUCUAAAAGUACUUCACAAAGGCCAGGCCACUCCAUAACCUAUCUAAUUAUUAUUGGCCCCAUAACGCUCAAGUGCCACGAAUAACUUUCGCCUGUAUCUACAUCCAGGGGGUUAUCACCACCCUACUUACCACAAACAAUGGGAUUCUUAUUCUCAUAUGGCUAGUGAAUGAAACCCAAAAUCCUGCCCUGAGGGUCUGCUUCCUAGGGUCCCUCUUGAUAACAGGAGCCUUGGCCUGUGUCUUUGAAAGACACACCCGAAACAAAAGCUUAUGGUAGGGGGCUUAUUUUGAAAUGUGAUAUCCUGGAAUCAGGAGUUAGGGAGAAGGAUGGAAAAACAGGGGAGGAGGGAAAAAUCACUCUGGAUGACUCAAUCCUGUAGGACCUUCAUAGAAAUCUAAUGAAAUGUGUCUCCAGACUAUUCACUCAGGAAAAACAUUUGACUGGAAGAAUGAUAGGAGAUAACCCCGGGGGAGUUGCUAGAGUUACACUCAACGAUUUAAAGCCGCAACACUCGUGGUGUCCAUUAUAUCCCUGUGCAAAAUGAUGGUGUUCCCUUCAGAUCCUCUUAACUCUCUCCCUCCUUUGUGCACUCCACCUCACAGAUUGGUGUGUUUUUGACUCUAACACCCAGCACUGGAAGUUCUUCCUUGGAGCACGGCCCUGGGGUUACAGAAAGCUGUAUUGCCUGCAGGUGAUAAGAGCUGGAAAUGCCUGAGAGUUUAUUUUCUCCACUAAGACCCCAACUAUGGGACAACCGAUCUGGAGCUUGGGCCAAAUGUAACAAGCCUAAUCUCAAGGCACAAUCUGAAGUUCACAAAGUAGAUGUCUGAAGUUCUGGACCAAGGUCCUGCCUUCGGUGACAGAGAACUGCUUGUAAAUUAGCUCCUGGAAGUGAUACUUGGUCCUUGGAGAGAUUGAGCACUUGACUGUGCUGUGGGACACCAAGGGACUGUGCACAUGGAACCGUCCGUCAUAAUCUAGAUCCUGUGUCGUAAGCUAGGUGGGCCUAGUAGCAAUCCAUUGUAUAAUGAAAUGGUACCUUUGGGAUCAGGACAAGUACAUUUGGGAUCGUGUCUGGAAGACACAAGCAUAUUGGAUAAACGUGGCAUUCACCUUUGCUGUGCCAACGCCCGUCCUUCAACUCACACCUAGGACAGCAGGGGGUGGAGGAGGGGAAUGUAUGACCUGUUUUCCACCGGCUAGAACUCACUGCAGAGGAAAGAGUUGACAGCUGGACUGACAAAAAGCUGGUCCUGUGCCUGCCAGGCAGUUUCUUUAUUUGGCCACCUGGUGCUGAGACAAGUCAGUGAAAUGGGGAUGGGUGGCGGGGGGGGGGGGGGGGGGGGGUAGAGCACAGUGGCAGAAGUGGAUCCUAAGCACGGGACAUGUAGCAUAAACUUCCUGUCAUCAAGUCUUACCUCGCUACUGCCAUUGAAACUUGAUAUUAUCCAUCUCUUUUCACUAGCAUAGAAGCUCCAUGAGUAUAGGUAUUUUCGUCUUUUGUUCAUCGUCCACCACCUGGAACGAUGCCUUGCAUAUAAUACGGUUUCAACAAAUGUUCAUUGAAUGAAUGAGUGAAUGAAUGAAUGAAUGAUAUGAUAUGAUUUGUUUAUGCAGCCAUCAAUAUCAAGAGGGCAGUCUGGGUGGGAGAAACAGCUUAUGCAGGGACCAGAAGGCAAGAAUUUACAGGCAUUGCUUAAGGAAUAAUGAUUUUUUUCCUUUAGAAUAAUUUGACUUGCAGGCUACUUUUUCUACAGAACCUUCAGUAAACCUCAUUGUACGACAGCUUACAAUCCGAAUGUUUUCAAAGGGAUGAAGGUGGAAUUCAGCCCGUAGGAAUUUCAUUUUGGCACAUACCAAAACUUUGCCCAACUUCAGAAAGGCUUCCAGAAUAACUCCUACCACUCCCUGACAGAACAUAUGGUGUCAUUAGACGGCUGAAUUGGACAAAAUACCCUGCUAUGAAGGGAAACCUAUCCUUUUCUUGUAUCACUCAACUUAGCUGAUACCAUUUCUCCAAACACACUGAUUAUUCACUUCUCCACAUUGCCUGGGCUAGCAAUUCCUUAGGCUACUAAUAACAGAACUUUAAUAAGGAUAAUCAAAAUAAUUUUUAGGGUUAAAAAAUUAAACACACAAGAGAAAAUCCAAGCUUCUAUAACUUAACUGUUUUCCAGAAUCCCCUAGCAGACGAUAGAUGUGAUAAGCCAUAGUAAAUUCUUUCAUGACAGCGUCUGUCAAAUGUUCUACGGCCUUGGAACAGAUCUGUCUUGUAUUUAUUUUUACUCAGGGACUACAUCUUCGGCAUUGUUCAGAAAUACCAGGUCAACUUGCAUUCCUUAAAGAACUACAUUUCUGUCAAAAAUUUAGCACACUGGCUCGAGACCCAUCAUCUGGUAAGAAGCAGAUUCUCUGUCCUCUAGGUUGGGUGGUGUUCCUCGAGUGGAGUUUGAGAGCUUGUCGGCCCUCUUGGAGGACGACGGGAUUGUUGACCUCCUGUAGCUAUGCCUCUGUUGGAGGCUGUGCUUUCAAACUGCCUUCCUCCUCUCUGGGCCCUUCUCCCUACCUGCCCCUCCUGUUUAACUCAGUUAAUUAAUCCCCAGGGCUCCUGAGAAGACUUACCACAUCUCCCCUUCCAUUCACCUUUUUGCAAGGCAGGAAGUACAAAUGAAUGUUGGCUAGAAUUGAUCAAUCCCGGGGUUAUUUCGUGAUGUAAUUCCAGACCCUUCCAAUAGAAAAAUGAAGUGGAAGGUUCUGAGGCCUUUAGCAGCCUAUUUGAGUCAGAGGUAUGGCAAAAUAAGACGGAACAAGGAUGAUAGGUAAGCUUUUAACAUUUCUCCAAUAGGAAGAAGUGCAUCUCAUCAUUUUUAUGGCAUUGGAUGGACAUUAUUGAAGCAAUAGCAUAUCUGUGUAUACCACACACGUUCUUAUGUACUUUACUUCAAAGGGAAAACGCAUGUCACUGUAAUGUGCUUAUUGGUUGGUAUGAUUCUCUUUACUUUGGCUAAGGCCCUAAAGAACAAAGGGCCAUCCUUCUGUAGCGAGGAGCCGUCAGUGGAUCAUUCAGCAUGGAAUAAUAAUUUCUUUCUGCAGCUAGAGCACUUGUGUGUAUUUUCGCUUGGUUACGUAAACUACUCUGGAAAUAUAAAAGUAAUUUGUAAAGGCAAAUUGUCCACUGUUGUUGCAAAGCACUCUGUGGGGCAAGCACAUAGCUCCUGCUUCCUGCCUAAGCGUUCUGAACAGAGACCUCCAAGAUCUCCAACAUUUAGAUCAAUCUGACUUUGUUUGUGGGUUUGGUUUGGCUGUGAGACAAAUACCUAACUUUUCUUCUAUUCCAUUCCUAUACCUCACAGACUGGAGGCAUUUCUCUUAAGCAAUAAAUAUCCACAUAGGGUUUUGUUUAUCAGUCAGUUGAACAAAUGGAAAGAUAUUGUUGGUUACUCAGUUACUUAUUAUUAACUGGCUUUAUUGUUAGACAUGGAGGAUAUUGUUAGUCAUGGACACACACACACACACACACACACACACUCAUGUCCAUUUUAAAGCUUUAAUGCUAGAGGUGAAUGUAGGGCUUUUGUAGUUUAAUUUAUUUUGCAAAUGGGGAGAUUAACUCCAACAUGAUGUAAAUUAUUUGCCCAAUGCGGGGUGCCUGGGUGGCUCAGUCGGUUGAGCAACCGACUUCGGCUCAGGUCACGAUCUCAUGGUUUGUGAGUUCGAGCCCCGGGUCGGGCUCUGUGCUGACAGCUCAGAGCCUGGAGCCUGCUUCGGAUUCUGUGUCUCCCUCUCUCUCUGCUCCUCCCCCACUCAUGCUCUCUCUCUGUCUCAGAAAUAAAUAAACAUUAAAAAAAAUUUUUUUAAUUAUUUGCCCAAUGCUUUAGAACUAAUUGGCCAUAAGGUCAGAAUUAGGACCCAGGCUUCCGGACUCCAGUAGUGUUUUUCUCCAAUCUAUGGGCAGGGAAAAUGGAAACCAUGACCUCAGAUGACUUAAUUCUUCAGAGAGCCUUCUUACAUCAUGAUGUUAUUAGACCAAUAAAGAUACAAGCAUUCGUUCUUAUUAUUGUCUCUCCUUUUUUCAUCUCUGCUUUUGGAUGUAUCUAAGUAAAUGUCCUCAGGACAGCCAUCAGAUUGUGGCUCCCUUCUUAGAUAUUGGUGGUAACAGCAUUCAAGGUUUAGAAUUUAAGGUAUAUGAGAUCCAGAAAUAUUCCUCCGGUAAGAGACUUUUGUAAGAAAACACAAUGAUUUUUGAUGUAAUAACUGUUAACAUGGCUGUUAUCAAACUUGACAACACACUAGUAAAAUUUCUACCUAACCAUAUCACCCAGAUAUUCAGUCUUCUUUGCAGAACAGGGCACAUUUGUAUCCAUUUUGGCCAUUUCAGAAACAUCAAUAAUUCUGAGUGUAACCAUGCUCAGUUUCCCUCAGUCAGAGAGUUGAUAGGUAUUUAAAGGUUGGGAAAUAUUGGGGGGUGGGGGAAAGGGAGGCCAUCCUCAGAGCUUAAGUGUAAACUUGACGGAGAGACAGAAAGACUAUUAGGAUAGACACCAAAAAGUUAAAGGAGAGUACAUGGGUGUGCAGACAUUAUUGUCCUUCGCCAACCAUCACGUUGAGUUUACUUAUCAAAAGUAAAAGAGCGGGGCACCUGGGUGGCUCAGUCAGUUGAGCGUCUUGAUUUUGACUCAGGUCAUGAUCUCACAGUUGUGGGAUGGAGUCCCGCAUCUGGCUAGGCACUGAAGGAGGAGACUGCUUGGGAUCCUCUCUCUCCCUCUCUCUCUGCCCCUUCCCCACUCACACGUGCUCUCUCUCUUUCAAUAUACAUAAACAAGCAUUCAAAAAAAAUUGAAGAGAAGGGCCAUCUACAUUCAAGGAAUAUUCUAUCCUUAAACUUCAAGAGGGGCGCCUGGGUGGCUCAGUUGGUUAAGUGUCCAACUUCCAACUUCGGCUCAGGUCAUGAUCUCACAGUGAGUGAGUUCGAGUCCCGCGUUGGGAUCUGUGCUGACAGCUCAGAGCCUGGAACCUGCUUCGGAUGCUGUGUCUCCCUGUCUCUCUGCCCUUCUCCUGCUUGCACUCUGUGUCUCCCUCUCUCUAAAUAAAUAAAUAAACAACAACAACAACAACAAAACUUCAAGAAAUAAAAUAUAUGGUGGUUGUGAAUUUAAAGAUCUUGGUGGCUAUGUUCUCAGAUGGUAUUAGUUUUGUUCAUACUAGGCUAUCUUUGUGAUUGCUGGGAACUUUCCAGAAAAUGUAGUAUUUAGGAAUUUCAGUAGGUCUUAUCUAUUUUCUCAUGAAAGAGCAGAUUAUGGUUAUUUCUUCAGGCAUGUAUGUUACAUCCUUCUAAAAAUAAACUACAGAAUUUCCUGUUAUGUAAAACAUAUAUAUUAAAAAGGGAGAAAAAUCCUUUUUCCAGCUAACAUUUUUCUGCUCAAACUUGUAUUUUUUCCUAGGCAUUCAUUCCUUUAUUUAUAUACUAAUUAAUUCCCCCCAAAAAGACAGUUUACCAUCGAACUAUGCUCUUCUUUAGCAAUAGUUAAAUCUCUAGUUUAUGAAAACCAGAACUUAUAUAAUCAGGCAAGAAUAUGUAACAAACCAGAAAGACUGAUGUGAGUUAGAGUUUGGAACUAGUUUUGGAGAUAGUUUUAUCAGAACAUCUAAAGCACAUUUUAGCACAAGACUCUAACUCCCGUUUUGUGAACGGAGAGGCACUCCACGUGUCAUUAAUUUUCCUGAAAGACAUUUCUUGCCCUAAAAUUUAUUUCUCUACCUCUCCGCUUUUUCCAACAGGUUCAAGAUGCUGACUUUGUCAAUAGUGUGGGGCCUGAGAAUCUGCCUUAUAAGAGAGCACCCUGGACAUUUCUAAACCAGGCUGCAGAGAGACAGGCACUCCCCAAGGGAAAUAGUCUCCUAACUCUUCUCCUCAAAA